rnacentral:tRNA from 1 species
GCCACGGUCGCAUAACCUGGUAGUGCACUGGUCUUGAGCUUUUUAAGAAAACCAGCGUCCGAAAGGACUUCUCGGUUCAAAUCCGAGCCGUGGCG